AGGCGGCAGAACUGAGUUCUGUUAGACGCAGUCAUCGGAGGGUUUGCAGUGCACUGAGAGCUGUGAGUACCCGGGUAUUCACUCAAGUGGCACUGGCGUCCUGAAAAGGCUCAGUUCUCGGUGUCAGAGAGGGGAAUGUGGGCCUGCGGGAAACUACCCCUGAUGACGUACCUGAGUGGGUUUCAACUCUGUCAGGCCCGACACCACUUUUAAAAAUAAGCCUUUGUCGGCUUCAUUGAGGUAUAAUUGACAAAAAAAAAAAAAAGGUGUGUAUUUAAGAAGUACCGUGUGAUGGCUUAAUAUGCUACGCAUUGUGAAAUGAUACCCACCUGAAGCUAAGUUACCAGGCUUUGGGUGGGGUGAGAACACCGGAAACCACUGUCUCAGCGAAUUUAAAAUACACCAUACGGUGUCACUAGUUAGAGUCGCCAGCUCUACAUUAGAGUCCCUGGAACUCAUUCAUCUCAUAUCCCAACAGGCGGUGACCCCGGGACCCACUUCUCCCCACUCCCCCCCCCAUCCCUGGCUCCCCCCAUUCCUCCCUCAGCAUCUCUGAAUUCUAAUUUUUAGGGCUGAAUACUACUCCAUUAUGGGUAGAGAGAUCAUGUUUUCUUUAUCCAUUCAUCUCCUGGUGGACAUAAGCAUUACUGUUUCUUGACUACUCGGUGUAAGGCUGCAGCGAACCCAGAGUGCCACGAUCUCUUGGAUACUGACUUCAUUUCCUUUAGAGAAAUAGCCGGAAGUAGGAUGGCUGAAGCAUAGAGUAGAUCGGUUUUUAAUUUUGGGGGGGGGGACUUCAUGCUGUUUUUCCUAAAGGCUGUACCAAUUUACACUUCCACCCACAAAAGCUCACCAGCAAAUGUGUCCGUAUCUUUGCCAACACUCUCAACACCGCUUUAUUAUAGUAAUCAAUAUUUCGCAACACCCCCCUUUGUUAACCCCAAAUUAAAUUCAUAGGUAAUAUGUUUAUCCAAGUGCGUAUUUUUUUAAAUUGAAGGGUAAUUGACAUAUUAUAUUAGUUUUAGGUGUACCGCAAAAUGAUUCAGUACUUGUGUCCGUUGCAAAAUGGUUACCGUGAUGACUACUGACAUUCAUUGCCUUGCCUACUCUCAAAACAAAUUUUUUCCCUUGUGAUGAGAACUUUACAGAUCUACUUUCUCAGCAACCUUCACCUUCCAAUAUGUAAUAGAGUAUUAUUAACUACAGUCAUGGUGCACACCUCCCCGUGACUGACUUCCUCUCUCUCUCUCUCUCUUUCUCUUUCUUUCUUUCUUUCUUUCUUUCUUUCUUUCCUUCCUUCCUUCCUUCCUUCCUUCCUUUCUUCCUUCCUUCCCUCCUUCCUUCCCUCCUUCCUUCCUUCUCUUUAUUAUGACUUAUUUUAUAGCUGGAAGUUUGUGCCCUUUCACCCCGCAAGUGCGUAAUUUUUUAAAGAAAAAGGAUAUGAUGGCCUAAUGUAAACAAGUUAAAUAGAGUAAAAUCCUAAGUGUCUUUUAUCCUUUCUGUGUCCAGUCAGAAAACAAACCACUCUAAGUAUUUCAAAAGAAGCAAGUUAAUCUAGGGAACUGGUUAUAAAGGUUUGGGCAGGGCUGGAUGAGCAUAUGGGGGAAGGUAGGGUUAUCCAGGAUUAGUAACUACAGGAACUCACUACCCCCUGGAGCUAGAGAAGCAAAGGGGAAAAUGAUGUCCCCCAGAGCCUCCGAAUGCAAGGCCACGGUGUCUGCUCCCCUGCACACCACACCCGGCACACCACACGACCCAAAAGACAGGGGGAAAAGGGGUCUUCCUGAUCUCUUCCAUUCCCCAGUGCCUCCCAUUGGCAGACCCUCAGAGAAGCCAGAUGGGAAGGAAUCUGGAAGCUGUAACUUGGAGGUUUCUGGCCCUAGAGGUGGAGAGCAGGGCUCACAAGGGAUGUACAGAGCCAACAGAUAAUAGUUUCAAUUUGCAAAUUUUUAGGCACAACUACAUUUGAAGAUAUAAUGAAGAUGCCAGAUGCUUGAAUCUGCAUUUAAAUAAGUUAGGAUUUAAUGGAAGUAAAACAAAGUUCCACGAAAUGUUAGACACUUUCUGUAUCUGACUUUCGGAAAGAAAAGGUGGAAUAGUGGAUUCCCAUAUAUGUAUAAUCACUAUGAAUGCAAUGACUACAACAGAGAUCCAGGUGGCUGUCGUGGUGACUCAAAUGUCAUGGGCGGCUUUGCCAUUCCUGAUGAGAUUUCGAAACAGUCGAGUUGACAAUUUAUAGUAAAAAGUGUAAACAAAACAGAACUCAUUAGUUGCAUUGUUACAAAAUUCAGUGUAUACUUAAAUCAUGCCAAAAAGCCUUGUGUUUAUAUGUCAAGUGGAGUUAGGUCUGGAGCUGAGAUCAUUAGGAAUAGGUUUUUUUCCCACCUUCAUGAGUAUCCAUCAGGACAUUCAAAAUUUGAGCAGGACUAAGGAUUAUAGAACAUCCAGUUUCCUGGUCUCUUCCCUUCUAAGUGCCCUUUGCAUAUCCACCCCCUAUCCCGCUUCACCCCCGUUGUUGUAACAACUAAAAAUGCCUCCACAGAUUUUUGGUCCUCUCUUGAGCAGCAGUACAGCUGUUAAGAGCACAGAUGUAGUUGUGUAGUCUUGAUACAGAAGUAUUAUGAGAUAUCAAAUAGAAAUUAGGUUAUAGAAUGUUGCCUUUCAUUAUUUUAGGAAGUAUUUGUCCAUGCAUAUGAGAAAAGGCUUGGCAUUUAUAAACCGAAAUGUUAACAGUGGUUAUUCCUUUUGUUGGAAUUUGAGGAAUAGUUUUUUUGGUUUUUUCUGUUUUUAAAUUUUUUUUCUACUUGAGAAAUUUUAGAACGCAUUCAAGGGGUGGGGGGAGAAAAAGGUUAGGUCAGGCAGGCGUAUCAGUGAGGAUCCUUCUGGGCUCAUAGGAACAGUCAGACCCUAAAUCUGUCAAUGGGGACUGACCCAAGUACCUGAUACGAGCACUUGCUCAGACAAACUUUGGUUCUACCAGAAAUGCCACCUCCUUCCUGCACACAAACCACUCUCUGCUGCUCACUGUUCCUUCGGGAUGGUGAACAGAGCGUGUCCUUCCUGAUGUGGGUCCAAAUGGGGUCAUACUAGUUUUUUGGCUUCAUAGCACAGCAGUUUCUUUAAGAAUAGGAGCCCGCUGAACUCACCCUCAUGCCGGCCCGUAAAUCUCAGGUAUGAAUCGCCAAACUGGGAGACUGAGUCCCACGCUUGGACAACAUUUUCCAUCCUUGGGCCAAAAUAGGGGGCAUCAGCAAGAUGUAGCACGUUCAGUGGGUUGCAUGCUGGAAGCUUGUGGCGGGCCUGAUACUGUGGGCCCUACCAAGAAGACCGAAGAAGGAUGAUAGGAUAGGGGCGCCCAUGUGUUGGCAGGUCCCAGCAUUUUCCAACUGACUUCUCACUGGGAUUUAACCCAACACACUGUCUCCAGUCCAAGCUGCCAGCCUCCAAAACCUCUGUCCUGCACAGGACCUUGUGCGGGGAUCUCCAGGCAGGGCGUGGGCGUGCCCGACACUCACACAUCUCCCAGACCUGAACGCCUGGGCCGAGACAAGGGAUAGUUUCCAGAUGUGGGCUUCACAUCUGGGCCAGCCAUCAGAAGGCUGCUUAUUUGAACAAAGACUGGAAGUACUCAAAGAGCCCCGAGGUCCAGAGAAGGCUGCCAAGAGCUGGCGAGCAGAUGAGUGGAGAACAGACCUCAAUUUAUGGUUCCAGGAGAGGAAGAAAGCCGUGCUUUGUGGUCCCGCACGGAUACGUGUGAAGCAAGGCAUCCUGCUCCUUCAGGAUGGGCAAUGGCUCUGUUCAUAGGAUUAAAAUCAGGGGCUUCGAUUCUAGGAUGAGCAGAAUUCUGAACUGAGGGUGCACUCCCAUUUCCAGCGUGGCACCUCGACCUUCCCCCCCCCCUUUCCACACCACCUCAUAACUGGCAUUCUGUGGAAAUACUGUGGAAAUAGAAAAUCUUACGAUUUUAUGGCUUGGUGGGCCCUUUCAACCCAUCAUCCCCACCGGACACACACUUCCUUUUUGAAAAUUUUUUCAAAAUGUUUAUUUUUGAGAGAGAGAGAGAGCGACAGAGAGCGAGUGGGGGAAGGGCAGAGAGAAAGAGAGGGAGACACAGAAUCUGAAGCAGGCUCCAGGCUCUGAGCUGUCAGCACAGAGCCUGACACGGGGCUCGAACUCACAAGCUGUGAGAUCAUGACCUGAGCUAAAAGCCGGGUACUUAACUGACUGAGUCACCCAGGGUUAGGGUUAGGUUUACAAGCUGUGAGAUCAUGACCUGAGCUAAAAGCCGGGUACUUAACUGACUGAGUCACCCAGGCACCCCAUUUCCUUUUAUAUGUAACCCUGUGACUUGGGCAAAUUCCCCACUUGACUGGAGGAGCUGAGAAGAAUAGAUCUGUUAGCAGUCCUCUUUGGAGGACGUCAGUCAGAUCGGCACAACUUGGAGCAGGUUCUUACGUUCCUACAAAGUGCAGAAGUGUACUCCUUGGGCUGAGUCCUGUUGGGCUGAAUUGUCUGCCCCCUCCCCCUGCCCCCGUACCUGUGUUGAAGUCCUAACCCCUCAGUACCUCGGAAUGUGACUGUAUAUGGAGAUAGGGGCUUUAAAGAGAUCAUUAAGUUAAAGUGAGGUCAGUUGGACGGGUUCUCAUCCAAUCUGAGGGCUGUCCUCGUGAAGAGAUUGUGCACAGACACACGCGGAGGGAAGGCUAUGUGAGGACACAGGGAGAAGGUGGCCAUCUGCGAGCCCCGGAGAAAGUCCUCAGAUGAAACCAACCUGAUGCUACCUUGAUCUCAGACUUUCAGCCUCCAGGAAUGUGAGAGAAUCAAUUUCUGUUAAGCCACCCAGUCUGCGGUGCUUUCUUAUCGCGGCCAGAACGAACUAACAUGGAGUUUGGGGGACGCCCGGACCACAGUGGUGGCCCCAGCUGCCUGGCUCUGUGGGGAACCAGGGACCAGGCCGGUAGCGAGAACGGGCAGGACGAUGACGAGCCCUGGGUGCAGGUGUGAGCCUGAGGGUGUUGCCAAUUUAUUUUCCGGUUGGUGCUUUCAUUAUCCUCACACCGUCAGGAAAGUUCUAUGACCUGUCACUGCCUGGCUUCUGCUUUGUGUGGGGCAUUAAGAAGGUCCUCGCUGAGGGGUCGGAAGACAGUCGUGCCGCAGGUCUUCAAGUCCAGACUCAGGAAGGGGCAGGAGCGUGCCCACUGGCAGGGGCGGCAUCCUUAGGGCCUCAAGAAGAGCUUGUGGGUCGUUUGAAGAGAACUGGUUUCCUUCAGCGACGCUGGCACACGCUUGUGCGGUUAUCACUUGGAUUACAGGUAGAAUGGAAAUUUUACUAGCCAUGUAACCUUAGGGAAGUUAUUCAAACUCUCCCGUCCUGUUUUUUGGCCCUAGGGAUAAGUGGGGUUCGCAGAGUGUUAUAAGGGUUAAAUGAGACCAUGAAUAGAAAGGCUAUGGAAGCACACGGCACUUUGUCUUCGGUGCCAAGUAUUUCCUGAGUUCCUCCUAUGUGCCAGGUUCCAUCUUAGGCUUUGAGGAUAUAACAGAAGGUAAGAGGGAAAAAAUGUCCCUGCUCCACAGAGCUUACACGGUAGACAGGGAGCAACUAUAAAGGAAACAGACGUGCAGAAGGAAGUGGGGUCCGCUGGGUCAGAGGCUGGUGCAGAGUCAAGGUGAGAAGAGGAAAGGACCCACGAACAGGUGCUUGCACUCCAUUCACUGGGCCCCUGGGGGCGGAAGGUAGAGCUGAGCCCUGAGCUAAGGAGACAUUGGAAGGGCUGCUGCUUCCUGGAGAAGGGGCUGGAAAACUCUGCUUGUUGGCCCCGGGAAAUAAUUAGGAAGCCUAUUUAUGUCCAGGAUCCUAAAUGAGGGGGGGGGGGGGGAAUCUCCUGUUUAAAAAUAAAAUGAGUUUGGCGGCUCCUCAAAACGUUAAACAUAGACUUGCCAUGUGACCCGGCAAUUCCACUGUGAGGUGUAGAUGCCGAAACGUCGAAAGCAGGGUCUCAGGCUGAUCCGUGUAGAACGACGUUCGUGGUGGCUCUGUUCCCAACAGCCCAGAGGCGGAAACAACCCACCCACAGGUGGCUGAAUAAGCGAAGCGUGGUAUAUGCACACAGUGUUCCUGAACUUGAAUAAGGAGUGAAAUCCUGAUAUGUGCUCAGCGUGGAGGAGCCCUGAAAACAUUAUGCUCAACAACAUAAGCGAGACCCAUAAGGGCAAAUGACCGCGUGAUUCCACUUACAUGAGGUGCCUAGGGUAGUCCGAUUCGUAGCCAUAGAAAGUGGAACAGGUGUUCCCAAGGGGGGUGGGGGGUGGGGAGUCACUGUUUACUGGGUACAGAGUUUCUAUUUGGGGUGAUGAAAAGUUCUGGAAAUGGACCAUGGCUAUGGUUACACAACAUUGUGAAUGCUCUUACCGCUGCUAAAUUGUGCACUUUAUUUUUUUUUAAUUUUUUUUUAACAUUUAUUUAUUUUUGAGACAGAGAGAGAGAGAGCAUGAACAGGGGAGGGUCAGAGAAAGAGGGAGACACAGAAUCUGAAACAGGCUCCAGGCUCUGAGCUGUCAGCACAGAGCCCAACGCGAGGCUGGAACCCACAGACCGCGAGAUCAUGACCUGAGCCGAAGUCGGACGCUUAACCAACUGAGCCACCCAGGUGCCCCUAAAUUGUGCACUUUAAAACAAACAAACAAAAAUAGUAAAUGUUGUGUUAGGUAUAUUUUACCACUAUAAGAAAAAAAAAAAAAAAGGAAGAAAAAGAAAGUUAUUUGCCCCAGGUGGCUGAGCUAGGGGAGCCAAGUGCUGAGCCUGGCAUCCGGGGGUCCCUUUUUCCCAGCCCCGCUUGCUCGCCAGCACAAAGCGGGGUGCUCACAGUGGCUGGGGAUUUACAGCAGCAGCAGUACCCCCCGGAUGGGAAGGCAGCGGCCUUCCUCGCCUGUUUCUUGCACCUGUGUUUCUUUGUGACUGUCUUUCCCGUCUUCCCUUGGAGUCAUAUUUUCUCUGGUUUUGGGUUGUAAUUAAUGGAGGCCGCUCUGCGUGCUGACAUGUACCCGGGAGCCAGGCUGCACCAGCUUCAGAUCUCAGCUCUGCCACUCACUAGGGGGGAUUCUGGGGCAAGUUUCUUAAACUCUCUGUCCCUCGUUUUCCCACCUGUGGGAAGCGGUAAUAGCAGGGGGUGGUUGUGGAAAUAAAGUGAAGUCACCCGCCUGAGGUGCUUGGAGCAGUGGCUGGCACCCCAAGUGCUUUCAUUGUUGGGUGUUCUCGUUGGUAGCACACGACCGGGCUGAGGGAGCUGAGGGUCUAUGGCCAGCGUGCAAGCUUCUUGGACUUAGAAUCCUUUUGCAGGAUUCUUAAACCCCCCAGGACUCUCCUAGAACGCUGCAUCAGAGCCGGGAAGAAAGGCAAAGAUACACAGGAAAUGUUGCCCACGCACAUCCUUACUUACUCGGCGAUGUGGAAUGAUCUCUGCAUUUCUGUAGGACGUGGUUUAUAAAUCAAUGGGUUGGGAUCAGGGCAGUCUAAAAUCCCUUGAAGUGUGCUCACACGUUUCCACACAAUCUGAGCAUGUCGCGUCUGCUUUCAUUCAGCAGUGCUGCCCCCUGUGGGCGGUCCGCGCACUGCAGUCCAAGUCACUCCAGCCAGCUGGGGGCGGGGAGGACUGCAGAGGCCUGAUGGUGUUAUGUUUCCCCUGACCUAAGCCCACUCCUGAUUCUGUUCCCUCUGUUCUCUCUAAAUGGAUUUGUGAGAUACUUACAGCGUUCCUGUUCCCAUGAAAUGAGGCUUAACAAAAAGAAAAGAAAAAGGCGGCCAGCCUCUGAUAACCCAAGGAGAUACAGCCCCCGUGUGUGAUUUGGGGCAGGUUGUGGGUCUCAGCCAGCAAAUGAGCUCCUAGAGGCCUACGAUGUACUCUCUCCUGAAGAACAUCCCACUUUAACAUUUCAAGACUCAAAAUCCAGGGACACAGUGAGACUAAUAUGUUCUAUAUUUAAAAAAAAUUUUUUUUAAUGUUUGUUUACUUUUGAGAGAGAGAGAGAGAGACGGAGAGAGAGAGAGAGAGACAGGGUGCGAGCAGGGGAGGGGCAGAGAGAGAGGGAGACACAGAAUCUGAAGCAGGCUCCAGGCUCUGAGCUGUCAGCACAGAGCCGAUGCAGGGCUCAAACCCGUGAGAUCAUGACCUGAACCGAAGUUGGACACUUAACCCACUGAGCCACCCAGGUGCCCUGAGACUAAUAUGUUCUAUAUUUUUAAAACUUUUGCACAGAAAGGAAAAAACGACCAUACGCUAAAUUUUAGAAAAUGAAAAAUGGAAAGAACAGUUUUGUAAUUCAUGACAAAAAAAGGCCUACUCUUCUUCCUAAUACAUAAAGAACUCCUAGAAAUGGAAGGGAGGGAGGGACGAAGGGAGGAAGGAAAGUAGGAAGGAAGGAAAGGGAGAGGAGGAUGAGCAAAUGUGGGCCACAUUCACAGAAAGCAACCCCGAAAUACCAUUUUCACCCACUGAAUUGGCCAAAAUCCUCAUGUUUAAUACCACACUCUGUGGGCCAGUCCGUGCAAGGGCAGGCACCUUGGAACAUUGCUAGUGGGGAUGGGACUCGGCAUACCCAUUAUGAAGGGGGAUGUGGCCUGUCAGCAGUUGCAAAUAUGAGAUUCCACUUCUGUAGCUGCACGUGUGCACAGAGAACAUACAAUGCAUUGAGAUUGUUCAUUGCAACAUUGUUUGUGAUAGAAAACAAUGGAAGCGACAGGUGGCUCUUACCACAUUUACUGCCUCCCUGGGAUGAACUCUAUGCAGUGAGAAAAGAGGAGAUGUGCUAUCAGUAUUGACAUGGAAAGAACUCUACAGUAUUCCAUUAAUAAAAAUAAGCAAGGUUCAGGGCAGUGUAUUUAAUCUACUACGUUUUUAUCUAAGGGUUGGAAGAUACGAAUUUAUGUUUGUAUUUCCUUGGUUUUGCCUUCACAAGGUUACCCGUGGAGCACCUAGACUGAUGGGGAUAAGGCUUGGAGGUAUCCACUCUCCUUUCUGCUCCUUCUAGACUUUCCAAACUUCUCUUUCUGUAUAUUGAUUGUUGAAAGCAUGAAGGUGUUACCAGUUUACACUUAAAUAAAUAUAUUCUUAUUCUCGGGGGGUAGUGAGGAUUCUCCUAUGCUACAAUGAGAGAAUAAAUAGUCCAACCUUUCUGAGAUGCAAUUUGGCAAUAUGUAUGGGCACAGAGAUUUCACUGUUAGGGUCUUGAUUACAUACUGUUUAAAGCGAAACAUUCCCAACUUUUGGAAGACGCACCUGUUAAAUGUCCCAACAUCAGGGGAUGAUGACAUACCCGUAAGACAGUGAUACAUCCAUAGGACAGAAUACUCAAAGCUAAUUCAAAUACCACAAAGUAUAUGUACUGACAUGGAAAGUUGGCCAUUUGUUAUAGAAUGGAAAAGCAAAUAACAUAUUUGCAUAUAUGGUCUGGUACAAUAUUUGUAAAAUAUAGAAAUAUAAAAGUAAGUAAACUCUGUAAGGGUAAUAUGCCAACAUAUCAUCAGUGACCAUAGCUAGAUAGUAGGUUGGGAUCAGUUUUUGUCUUUUAUUCAUCUGACUUUUCUGAUAUUAUGUAUUAGCAUUACAAGUAAAGUUAAUUAAAAGUAACCUUAGAGGGGCGCCUGGGUGGCUCAGUCGGUCGAGCGUCCAACUUCAGCUCAGGUCAUGAUCUCAUACUCCAUGAGUUUGAGCCCCGCGUUGGGCUCUGGGCUGACAGCUCAGAGCCUAGAGCCUGCUUGGGAUUCUGUGUCUCCCUCUCUCUCUACCCCUCCCCUGCUCAUGCUCUGUCUCUCUCUGUCUCAAAAAUAAAUAAAAACAUUAAAAAAUAAAAAAAUAACCUUCCAGCUAUAUGUAUAUAUACAAAAAUAUAGUCUUUAAUAACAGGACCAGUAGCAUAUAUCCUGUUACAGCACCUGGUUUUUCAUCUUGAAUACUUAUCGUCCAUAUCUUUCCCAGUCAACAAACACAUCUCAGGGAAAUCGAGUGGUCAGGCUACAAUGGUUUUAUGAUUGUUUGUUUUAGUUUUUUUCCUCAGAUCUCCUGAUCUUUCUACUGUCAACCCUUAUUAUUUAUGUAAUUCAGAAAUAAGCACUUUUAAAAGGAAAUACUUUUGUUCUAAUAGUUGGCGGUUUUGAAAGCCCUUUUUACAGACUGCACACAAUAUGUGCAAAACCCAGCAGAGCCAUGAUAACUCUAUAUGGAGAAACAGAGACUGGGGAAGUUAGGAGGUUUUCUGGCAGUUGCCAAGCCAAUAAAGUGAAGCUGGGCCACGUUGAUUAACACAUGGCCCAGAAGUGCUCAUUCUGCCGGCCAUGCACAUUCCCAGAGCCCUCCUAGACAUCUGGAAGGCUUGGACUCAAUUCCUACUCCACCAGAGAAGUGAACAGGGUCAUCUACAAUAUCCAAUAAAAGUCCUCAAAAGGAGGGGCUAACCAACAAGAGAGAGCAUUCCUGGAAAGACAGUUGCUUGAGGGCCCCAUACUGAACUGCAGUGAAAGCCUCAAGAAUUCUCUUUCCACUUUCCUGUGAACAUGCUUACCACUGAAUGUGGGAAGACUCACGAAUAUUUCUAGAGAAAAGGAUUUCCAUUAAAAUAAAAAGAAGAAAAAUAGAUUAUCCCCACUUAUAGCUUGUUUGAAAGUGUUAUUAAAGGAUAAACUUACUGAGGGUAAGAUUAUUUUUUAUCUCCAUAUUUCAGUGCUUAGUUAUCCCAGAGAUACUCAGUAGGUAUUAGAUGGUUGUGAUAAAUGGAUGGAUGGAUGGAUAGAUGGAUGGGUGAUUGAGAUGCAUUAAUUGAAAGAGGGAAGGAAGGAAGGAAGGAAGGAAGGAAGGAAGGAAGGAAGGAAAGAAAGAAAAGGGAGGGAGGGAGGAAUGGAAUCUAGAAAGAAGGAAGGGAGGCUGCUGGGGUUGGUUGGAUAGAUGAAUGGAAGGUUGGUUAGGGUGGAAGAAAAGAUGGCUGACUGGCUGGCUGGUGUGAUGGAAUAAUGGGUGGGUGGAUGAAAAGAUGGACUGAUGGAUGGAAUGGGUGGAUAAAGCUGCAGUUGAUGUUAAAGUCUAACAAACACUCAAGUACUGUGGGCUGUUUCAGCUCAGGUACAGAGAUAUUGCUACAUAAUUUUCUUCUCUUUUAGGAAGGAUGGAACUAUCUCCGCUUUUUAUGCCAGUCUCAUUAACAGCCGCCAAGACAGAUGCGGGGCCCUCAACAGCAGUCCUUCUUCUUCGCAUCCAAAGAAUGGCAGAGAAAGUUAAGAAGCCGAAAUGAGGAGGCACAAAAGUUAGCAUCUUUAUUUUAUAGGUGAGAUAACCGACCUGCAAAUAAUGAAUGUCCAAGCUAUUAGAGACCUUAUAAAAUACCAGGCAUUUAAAAUAAAAUUGUAAACCAUAGAAAUGAACAAAAGAAGAGGAAGGGCAGGGUCAUUAAAGUCAUUCAGUGGGACGGGACAGGUCUUCCCACUGUGGUUACUGCCAGGGCUAAAUUGCAGCGUGUGAGGCCAUCUGCCCUGGUAUUCUUCCUGUCACUCCCGAGAGCUUUUUAUUCCACUUUAUUUUAGGAGUGCCAAAAGGUGGGUUUCUAAUUCUAUUCCUCUCUAGUUCUUUUUAUAGUACUCAGAUCUGGGCAAAUACCAGUAAUAUGAAAUGUGUCCUCUUUUUUUUUUUUUGUACUUUAAAUCAGCCAGAAGUUUAAUAUCUUGAAUUUCCUGCUUCUUUGGCAUUCCUCACCUGCUGUGUGCAUGCCAGCUGCACCUGCAUGGUUUUCUGAGCACGUGUCUACCUGCCGGACUGCCUGCCAGGCCGUUAGCGAGGCCAGUGGACGAAUCACACACUUGGGUGUUUUGCGAUUCUGUCACUUUAAUGAUAGUGAAAAGCUCCAGACUGCCUGCAGCCCCUCCCAGUGUUUGCCAGACAACUCAGAGCUGGAGGCAGACGUUCAUUUAGAAACUGCCAGCGAGCAACGGAAAGUUCUCAAACACCUUUUACCUCUGAGGACUACAGCGAGUCAUGGCCCUGAGUUUGUUGGGGUCUUUUAUUUCUGCCUGUAAAAAAAAAAAAAAAAGUGCAUUCUCCUAAAGGCAUUGACUUAAAGUGCUAUAGCAGGUGCUGCCUGAACCCCACCCACACACUUGUCUUUCCCCUUCAGUGCUAACAGGCUGGAAUUCCAACUGCUGACACCUCAUUUUGUGUCCUGAGGACUUUCUCUUGACCUGGAGCCCCCUUUUCCACCUGUGCAGCAGGCCAGAGUGCUGGGAAAUUGAUGCCCCCGGGAACAGACUCCCAACAAUGGUGAAUAGGAGUUGGUGUAUAAAUGCCCCAGCUCCCUUGCCCCUCAGGUGGGAUUGCUCUGAGGUGUAUGUUUCUCACUGACUUCCAGAGUUUUCUGAGCAGAUUUAAGCUUCAGUCACCCCCAGAGGUAGCUGGUUAGAUACCACAUGCUUUCUUGGCUGCCUCUUCUCUGUCUUAUGUCCCUCUGCCCCUGCCAGCAUCUCCUGGGAUUGUCUUCCAGAUAAACUACUCCAUCUGGAAUCUCUGUCUUAGUGUCAGAUUCAGAGAACCCCCCCCCCCAAAAAAGGCCCACCUCGACCAAUGGGAUGCUGUUGCAGGGGUUGGAGGAACACAUACUGGACAUCUAGGAGAUUCCCUCACAAAAUCAGAAAGUGCAGCCCCUUCUAUAAGCCUCAGCUGUAGUAUACAAUUUGGGGGCCCUCUGAUGCACUGUGGGGUUCCUCUGGCUGUCACCUCCUGUCCCAGGAGUGGUGAGCUGGUAGAGAACCCCAGCCGGAGGCACUCAGAAUGCACGUGUAGGUGGACAGAGGUGAUGUAAUCUGUGGGCAUCCUCUCCAGUCUCCCACCUGGGAGGAAGGAGGCCUAAGAGGCAAUAGAGGAAGUGGAUUCAGGGAGAAGAAUGAGAGGGUAAAACAGACGGCCUUUCUGCAUCCUUCCCAUUUCGCUUAGAUUCAACUUAUUUUUUUUUUUGCUCCGAAGUAUAUUCUUUAGUGUUUCAUUCAGGGAGGAUCUGCUAGGGGCGAACCUUCCAUUUUUAUUGGGUAAAGAGGUCUCUGUUUUGUCCUUGCUCUUGAACAGCAGCUUGGCUAGACUUUGAAGUCUACAUUUUCUGUCUGCACGUGUGUUGUCUUCUGGCUUCCAUAGCUGAUACUGAGAAGGCUGUUUCCAAUUGGACUGUUGUUGUUUUGCAGGUAAGCCUGUUUCUGUGUGAUUUGAUUUCUGGUUUCUUAAUCCAGAGAGAUUAAAUCCUUUAUUCCCUUGCUAACUUCUGCAGUUUCAUUCUCAUCUGUCUGGGCAUGCCUUUAUUUUUAUUUAUAUUGCUCAGGAUUCCCUAUUCUGAAAAACCUUAAAAAAGAAUCUCAGCCAGUUUCUCCCUGACUUUUGCCGCUCUCUCAAUCUUUCUAGCCUCGCCUGAAAUUUCUAUUAAGGGUAAGAUAGAUCUUGUUAUUUUAUCCUCCAUGUUUCUUAAGCUUUCUUUAGUAUUCUCUAUCUCCUGUUGGCUCCUUCUUCCAAUUUACAGACUCUUUCUUUAGCUGUGUCCCAAGCUGCUGCUUAGCCCCAUCCACCAAGUGCUUCAUUGAAACGAUCCCAUUUUUCAUUUCUAGAAGUUCUGUUUGGCUCUUCUUCAAACCCAUUGGUCAUACUUAUCCUCAUUAGUUAGUCUCUCGUCUGCGGGUUUAAUUUUAAACAUCACUUUAUGCACUCUAUCUGAACAUUGUAUUAUCUGAAAGCUAUUUUUAGUGUGGACAUUCACUUUUACUCAUGGUGACUGUGUCCUCUAGUGCUUUGUAAUUUUUUAUUUUUAUUGUAAGCUUGCCUUCCACAGGGAAAAUGUUGUUUUGUUCUGUCUUGUUCUCUGUGGGAAUCCUGUGCAAUUUGGAACACAGAAGUGUCCCUCCAUGGUCGUUUUAUUUUGGCUAUUGCCAGUUGUCUUGGGGAUAGUCAAAUCAGCUAAAAACAUCACCACCUCUACAUAGCCUCCUUGGGCCCCUUUCUCUCAGCUGAGCCUUGGAACCUCUCCUCUCUGCUCACAUAGCUCCUUGUACAUAUCUCUAUGGCAUCUCAAAUAGCACUCUGUUUGGAGACUGUGUGUCUGUGUCCUCAGUUACUCUAGAAGCCCCUCAGGCACUCAUCAGGUCUAGCACAGAGCUCAUAAAUAUUUGCUGAAUGAAUGAACUUGGAGAAAUAAGUCUUCAGUGCCUCACCUUCUUUGAAUGGGAUGUUAUCUUUUGUCCUGACCUCAUGGGAUUUGGAGACAUCAUAGGCCCUCUAUGAUAGAUCAUGGAGCUAUCCCAUAGACCUCAUGGGAUUUGGGGAGAUGCUUUAAUUCACCCCUAACAUCACUGCAUCAAAUCCUUAAUUCCCUGCCUAAGAUAAUUAACUAAGGGGCUCUCACAAGCUGUGAAACACUAACAUAGGUACCUCCCAGUGCUAUUCCACUGUGCCUGGUGACUGGUUUCCCACUCAUUAUUAUCUGCUUCCUUUGUGCUUUGUGAGACAGGAAUGGUUGCAAUGGAAAAGAUCUGUUGUGUACUAACAACUUCAAACUUUUCUGAGACUAAAACAAGGCUGUACCUGAGGCUGAUAUACUUGGACAUAUGCUGGACUUAGAAUCCCUCAAAAUCAAAUGGCAGCAGCCAAGCAAACAGCCGUAUCAACCCUAAAUGGCAACUGUGUGUUCCUCCUUUUCCCAGCUUGACUGAGCGCUCUUUGAGAGCAUGGACCAUGACAUACAUCUGCUGGGGUGUCCUCAUGGCAAGGUCAGAAGCACGGCGCUGAAUCGUAGGUAUGGUUGAAUUUUGACCGGUUGAGUUGUAGUUAAAAGUAGAGUCAGCGUUCUAUAUACGAAGUAGAAGCCACCUCAGAAUACUGACAGUUCUUAAUAAUAGCAAAGCCAUUUUUGGUUUGUACUAUACUUUUUCUUUUCUGCUCAAGCAUUUUGUGGUGGGGAAAAAAGGAUUGGGAUUGCAGUGUUUUUUAGUGGCUCCAAAUAGCUAUCUUCCUCUGCCCCCUAGUGGCCUCAUGACAAAUUGUAAGAACCUUCAUGGUUCUCAAUUUCCCUGGUUGCUUCUGUUCUUACUGUUUUUGUUAUUGGUUAUGAAAAAAAGAUUUCCUUAAACUUGCCGCAACCUCAAAGUGCCCUGUGUUAAAAAUUAAAUGAAUGAAAUAUAAUUUUACUAGAAAAUAUACGUGCAGUGAGGGGCAUCGAGAAUCUAGAAUUUAGGAAGUGAUUCUCUCUCAUUCUCCAACAGGCUCCAUCCGUGGCCGUCCAUCUUUGGUGUUAAUACUUUCUGGGACAGUUGUUUGCCACUCUGGGACCCCUUAUGUGACAGCUCCAUUUGCACCAGCAUGAAAUGUCCCUCCCCGGCUGCAUUCUAGAACCCGGAACCUCCCAAGUAAGACCUAAGCCUGCCUUCACCUGGUGGGGUUAUCUGCUUCCCUGCCUGGACUCCUGUCCAGACCAAGAACGGCACCUUCCUCAUAUGCCUUGGCUCCUGGCACCGAGUUCCUCCUGCCUGUGCUCUCAACAUAACACUAGCGUGGGGGAGCCCCAAGAGAAUCGGGUUCUCAACACCAAGCAUGGUUAUUUCUGGUGAAGUACAGACCACGCAAACCAUGUCUUUAUUUAUGCCACUGAGCCUGCAUUAGCUCCCUUACCAAACCUGGAAUCCAAGUGGCUCCUCUUGAGCAACUUGCCUCCCAACAGCCCCGGUCACCUUCACAUGGAUAGUGGCCAAGGAAGGCUUUUCUCAUUCCGCCGUCAUAACGGUGGCUUCUUUGUUCAGUGUAGCUGUGGGAAACUUAUUUUCGUCUCUGUUUUUUUGCCAGGAGACUGGAUCAUCAUCUGACAAUAAAGAGAAAUUCCAACCUGAAGGAUUUUGACCACAGAGGAAAGAACUUCCUGAAAGUUCUCUUUCAGGAAGAAUGAUGGGAUGUCCCUGGGGCCAAGAAUCAAAAGUUGUGUUCUUGGCCUCAACCCUGUCUGGCUGCCAUGCUCCUUGUCAGUAGCAUGGAAUUUAC
rnacentral:lncRNA from 1 species